AGUAUUUAAAGAUGGGGGAGGAUGGCAGGUCGGAUUGCUGAGCCCCUUCCUCCUCCCUGGUCCUAAGUGACAGCAGGGAGAGCUGUAAGCCGAGGGAGAAGGGCCGUCCAUCUUGCGGCACUCAGCAGAGCGUGUACUGAAUUUGAUGGGAAACCCGGUUAUCAGACACAUUCCUAAUUACAGAAGGACAGUCACUGUACGACUAAAGCACUUAACAUACCUGGAUGAUAGACCGGUGUUUCCAAAGGACAGCAGGGAUCUGCUUCUUCUCUCUGAAGAGCUUGUGCGGAGGCCUGGGCUAGGGGAGGGUACGCAGCUGAAAAGGAGGAGAGACAGCAGUGGGAGAGCAGGGAGCGGAAGAAGAUCACGGACAGCAUUGAAGCCUUGGCCAUGAUCAAGCAGCGGGCGGAGGAGAGGAAAAGACAGAGAGAGAGUCAAGAGAGAGGGGAAAUGACAUCUUCAGAUGAUGGUGAGAACGUGCCCGCCAGUGCGGAAGGCAAGGAGGAGCCUCCCGGGGACAGAGAAACAAGGCAGAAGAUGGAGCUAUUUGUUAAGGAAAGCUU
rnacentral:sRNA from 1 species